GGUUGAUGAUGAUGAAACAAAGGCUUGUUUCUCAGAGACAUUCGCAGUGGCCGCCUAAGAGCUUUCGCCUUCGCCAGGCUUGAGAGUUUAUGCUGCUUCCUUCCUUCCUUGGAUGUCUGAAACC
rnacentral:snoRNA from 1 species